GACGAACGCUGGCGGCGUGCUUAACACAUGCAAGUCGAACGGAAAGGCCCCCUUGUGGUGUACUCGAGAGGCGAACGGGUGGGUAACACGAGAGUAACCUACCCUUGACUUGGGGGUAACUUCAGGAAACUGGGGCUAAUACCGUAUAGCAUCUACUCCUGCAUCGUGGGGGUUGGGAAUGUUCGGCGGUUGGGGAUGGACUCGAGGCGUAUCAGCGUGUUGGUGGGGUAGUGGCUCACCAAGGGUUUGACGGGUAGCCGGCCUGUGAGGGUGACCGGCCCCAAUGGGACUGAGAUACGGCCCAGACUCCUACGGGAGGCAGCAGUGGGGAAUAUUGCACAAUGGGCGGAAGCCUGAUGCAGCAACGCCGCGUGCGGGAUGACGGCCUUCGGGUUGUAAACCGCUUUCGCCUGUGACGAAGCGUGAGUGACGGUAAUGGGUAAAGAAGCACCGGCUAACUACGUG
rnacentral:rRNA from 1 species